rnacentral:rRNA from 1 species
UACGGAGGGUGCAAGCGUUAUCCGGAUUCACUGGGUUUAAAGGGUGCGUAGGCGGACACUUAAGUCCGUGGUGAAAUCUCUGGGCUUAACCCAGAAACUGCCAUGGAUACUAUUUGUCUUGAAUGUUGUGGAGGUUAGCGGAAUAUGUCAUGUAGCGGUGAAAUGCAUAGAUAUGACAUAGAACACCAAUUGCGAAGGCAGCUGGCUACACAAAUAUUGACGCUGGGGCACGAAAGCGUGGGGAUCAAACAGG